ensembl:miRNA
CCUGAACAGAUGCAUGCAUACUUGUCCUGCCCUCACUGGGGACCCCCUUCCUCCUGGGUACUAGACAGAAUUCUAUGCACUUUCCUGGAGGCUCCA